GCGCCUGUGGCGAAAUUGGUAGACGCGUCAGACUUAGGAUCUGAUGUCUAGCGAUGUGCAGGUUCGAGUCCUGUCAGGCGCA
rnacentral:tRNA from 1 species